CGAAGCGAGACAGGUGACUCGUAAGCGAAGCGGCUUAUGUUCACUUCCGCACGAGUCCGCCUCCUCAACUCGGCCGAGUCGCUCCUCGUGCCACCGAUCCGGUGCCCUCGCCGUGGCUUAACUCGGUACCUUCCUCCUCUGCGACGUCUCCUGUCAAUUGGUCCUCGCCCUCCUCCCCGCUUCUCCGCUUCGUUCUGUACUUCCAGCCACUGUCUCCGCCCUCCGAUGGAUCCCGCCGGAUCCGCCUCUGCGGGGUCGGAUCCUUUCGGCGUCGACGACUACGUUCACGUCUCCAAAUCUUCGUCCAACGAGGCGGCGCUCUAUUUGGAAUCGGAACGAUCCGAGACGUUCGACUCUGAUCUCCUUCCCGGGGCCGCGGAAGGGCGAUCCUCCGAGGUGGAGCCAGAUGCGAGUGGCCUGCGAUUGGGAGAGCAGGAGGGUUCUGAGACAGCGGAGAAAAGAGUGUUACCGGAGAAAUUGGCGAAAGGCGUGGUGUUCUUGGAGUGCGAGUCGUCGGCCGAAGGUGGAUCCUGCGAUGUGUACCUCGUCGGAACCGCCCAUGUUUCUCAGGAGUCUUGCAAAGAAGUUCAAGCCAUCAUCAGUUGCUUGAAGCCUCAGGUUGUUUUCCUGGAAUUGUGUGCAAGCCGGGUUGCCAUUUUGGCGCCCCAAAAUUUUCAGGUUCCAACUAUGAGUGAAAUGAUUGACAUGUGGAAGAAAAAAAAGAUGAAUACUUUUGGAAUUCUGUACAGCUGGUUUCUAGCCAAGGUUGCUCAUAAACUAGAAGUUCUUCCAGGAGCUGAGUUCCGAAUAGCAUAUGAAGAAACAAUGGGUUAUGGAGGCAAAAUUAUUCUGGGUGACCGUCCUGUUCAUAUUACCUUGAAAAGAACUUGGGGCAAGAUGUCAUUAUGGGCUAGAACUAAAUUCUUGGUCAACAUACUUUUUCAGACAGUAUUUUUACCAAGUACUGAUGAACUAAAUAAGAUGCUGAAGGACAUGGAUAAUGUUGACAUGCUAACUCUUGUAAUCCAAGAAAUGAGCAAGGCAUUCCCAACUCUAAUGGACACUCUUCUUCAUGAAAGAGAUAUGUACAUGUCCUCCACCUUACUAAAGGUUGCAAGAGAGCACUCUUCAGUUGUUGCAGUUGUCGGCAAAGGACAUUUAGCUGGAAUAAAGAAGAACUGGAAACAGCCCAUUGAGUGGGAGCUGGGCACUCAAUUGGCUGUACUCAGUCUAGUCCGGGCGAGUGAAAACCUAGUCUAGUGCAUAUCAGCUGAAUUCUUGUACUAUGAACCUUCUCUGGCAAAUCUGAGAGGUCAAAUCUGCUUUACGCAAAGAUGAAGCAUCUUCUGGAAGUUCCAGUACGAAGUGCAGGACCAACAAGAAAAACAAUUCUAGCAUCUGUUGCAGUUGGAUUGACUGGAAUAGCUGCUGGUGUUUAUCUUCUUGCUAAGAGAUGAUCCUUGGAAUUCAACACACAAGUUAAUUCCUUAUUUAGGAUGAAAAGGUGCUUUUGUUUUAAAUUUGUUAUUAUUAUUAUUAGUUUCGAUAGGAUCAGAUUAAAGUUGUUGGUACUUGUUAUCGUUUCAUUAUUCUGAAGUUUCUGCAGCCUUCACUUCGAAAUUUUUAAUGAGAUUAACUAAUUUUAGCUUUUA